AUUGAACGCUGGCGGCAUGCUUUACACAUGCAAGUCGGACGGCAGCACAGAGAAGCUUGCUUCUUGGGUGGCGAGUGGCGCACGGGUGAGUAACAUAUCGGAACGUACCGAGCAGUGGGGGAUAACUAAUCGAAAGAUUAGCUAAUACCGCAUAUUUUCUGAGGAAGAAAGCAGGGGACCUUUGGGCCUUGCGCUGUUUGAGCGGCCGAUAACUGAUUAGCUAGUUGGUGGGGUAAAGGCCUACCAAGGCGACGAUCAGUAGCGGGUCUGAGAGGAUGAUCCGCCACACUGGGGCUGAGACACGGCCCAGACUCCUACGGGAGGCAGCAGUGGGGAAUUUUGGACAAUGGGCGCAAGCCUGAUCCAGCCAUGCCGCGUGUCUGAAGAAGGCCUUCGGGUUGUAAAGGACUUUUGUCAGGGAAGAAAAGGGCGGGGUUAAUACCCCUGUCUGAUGACGGUACCUGAAGAAUAAGCACCGGCUAACUACGUG
rnacentral:rRNA from 1 species